UGCUCAGUAACGGCGAGUGAAGCGGCAAGAGCUCAAAUUUGAAAGCUGGCUCCUUCGGGGUCCGCAUUGUAAUUUGCAGAGGAUGCUUCGGGUGCAGCCCCCGUCUAAGUGCCCUGGAACGGGCCGUCAUAGAGGGUGAGAAUCCCGUAUGGGGCGGGGUGUCUGCGUCCGUGUGAAGCUCCUUCGACGAGUCGAGUUGUUUGGGAAUGCAGCUCUAAAUGGGUGGUAAAUUUCAUCUAAAGCUAAAUACUGGCCGGAGACCGAUAGCGCACAAGUAGAGUGAUCGAAAGAUGAAAAGCACUUUGAAAAGAGAGUUAAACAGCACGUGAAAUUGUUGAAAGGGAAGCGCUUGAACCAGACUCGCUCGCGGGGUUCAGCCGGGCUUCGGCCCGGUGUACUUCCCCGUGGGCGGGCCAGCGUCGGUUUGGGCGGCCGGUCAAAGGCCUCCGGAAUGUAGCGCCCUUC
rnacentral:rRNA from 1 species